GCCAAGCGCAUGGGCUAUCCGUAAUACCUAUCCGAUAUUUAGGUCAGUAUUUCGUUACGCUCAAAGUUUUCCUCUGAAAUAAAAUAAAAGUUGCAAGGGAAGGUGUAGGGAACGGGGGAGUGAGGAGUGGCUUCUCGUGGGAAUCCACCACGACAGUGCUGUUGUGGGUGCAGGGACAUGGGGAUAAGAAAUAAGCACAGCACGAAAGGAGGGAAAGGCUGCUGCAGGGGCAUUGGGAAAAGACUUCCAGCGCAGCUGGACGGCAGGUCACGGAGCUGCGAAGGGAGGGCUCUGAGCAGUGGAAAGUUCAAUGCACGACAGGCACUGUGCAGCCUCGGUGUCUGCAGGAACAGAGAUGCUGCCUCCACCUCCCUGAUGGCCCGCAGACCUUGCCGAACCCUCACACCACACAUUAGUGCUCUCUGUGCCCAAGCAUCCCAGGAGCAGCCUACAGAAAGUGUGGCUGCAGGACUACAGGCUAUGGCUGCUGGGCUACAAAGCUGCUAUUUCUGAUUUUUUCUGUGUGGCAGGGCAACACGGGAGCCCAAGAAGGCCCAGGACCUUGUAAAAAACACACUAAGGCUCCAGGCAUUUUUGGUGUCCUGGAAGAUUCAAAGAAGAUUCAGUCCAUCAGUGCUCCGUCACUUGGACUUGGAGGCCAGCAGAAGGCAGCACCUUGCAAGAGCAGCUCCACAGACACUCCGGGAGGAGAAGCCAGGAGAAGGGAACAGUUUUGCUGGUGUCUAUAGCUGCUUCCCACCCUGAGCCUCUGCCCCGGGAGUCCCUGAGGCAUCUGUGCUCCAUGAGGAUCUUCCAGCCCCUGUAGUAGGCGCCAGGAGCAUGUGUUGAAGGAUCCAAGCCUCCAGCAACCCGCAGCCAAAGGCCUUUCUCAGCCAAGGACAGCAACUUUGUAUUU